CGCGCAGGCGGCUGGGCAAGUCCGAUGUGAAAGCUUCCGGCUUAACUGGAAAAUUGCAUCGGAAACUGCUCAGCUUGAAGGUGGGAGAGGGUAGCGGAAUUCCCGGUGUAGUGGUGAAAUGCGUAGAUAUCGGGAGGAACACCAGUGGCGAAGGCGGCUACCUGGCCCAUUCUUGACGCUGAGGCGCGAAAGCUAGGGAGCAAACG
rnacentral:rRNA from 1 species